rnacentral:rRNA from 1 species
UACAGAGACCUCAAGCGUUAUCCGGAAUCAUUGGGCGUAAAGCGUACCGAUAGGUGGUUAUGCAAGUCAGAUGUGAAAUCUCCGAAGCUCAACUCGGAAUCUGUCAUUUGAAACUGCACAACUAGAGGGGCAAAGAGGAAGCUAGAACGAACGGUGUAGUAGUGAAAUGCGUUGAUAUCGUUCGGAAUACCGAUAGCGAAGGCAGGCUUCUGGGUGCCACCUGACACUGCUAGGACGAAAGCGUGGGGAGCCGAAUGGG